GCCUGGGGGGCUCAGUCGUUUCGGCGCCUGACUUCAGCUCAGGUCAGCAUCUCACGGUUCGUGGGUUCGAGCCCCGCGUCGGGCU
rnacentral:tRNA from 1 species